UAUCAGCACCCCAAUACAAACCGGGGCUUAUUAUACUUGCCAAGUUUUUGUAGAGAGCUGAUGUGUUUCCUGUCACUGUGGGCUGCAGAGCACAGUAGUACAGAGCAGAGUCUGAUACAGCAGCAGAAGAGAUCUCCAGAUCCACAUGGAUUUGUUCCUUUUUUUCAACUUUAACAGAGAAUCUUGGAUCUAAAUCAGACACCUCAGCUUUUUUUGCACUAGCGAAGGCUUCAAAGCCUCGGUGUCGAACGUCACAUCACUACUCUUUGGCUCUGGCUGCUGGACUCCCUACUGCCUGCCUCCCUUGCGGCCCAGCUCUACCUGCUUCCCUGCCUUUCUAGCUCCAUCCAUCCAGCUGCUCAGCUAAUAUCAGUCUUGUCCACCAGCCUCAGGAGAUCCCAGUUAAGUCAGCUAGGCUUCUGCCUUCUUUCUCCUGGAACCACUCUCCCACCCUCACCAUUCCCUGUGCCCUGUUGUUCAUUGGAGAGCUUAUCUGUCUCAUUGCUCUCUGCCAGUCACUCAGAAACCCCUUUCCUAGAUUCCCCCUGCUGAGCUGACAUUCUCUUCCACGGACCUGGCUGGAAUCUCACCUGGUUACCCUCUCAGACAGUGACUAGUUCCUGUUUUGUGUUUGAAACUCAAUAAAUCUG